rnacentral:rRNA from 1 species
CCUACGGGGGGCUGCAGUAGGGAAUCUUCCACAAUGGGCGCAAGCCUGAUGGAGCAACACCGCGUGAGUGAAGAAGGGUUUCGGCUCGUAAAGCUCUGUUGUUGGAGAAGAACGUGCGUGAGAGUAACUGUUCACGCAGUGACGGUAUCCAACCAGAAAGUCACGGCUAACUACGUGCCAGCAGCCGCGGUAAUACGGGGGAUGCGAGGGUUAUCCGGUUUUAUUGGGUUUAAAGGGGGCGAAGGGGGUCGGUUAAGUCAGCGGUCAAAGCCCGGGGUUCAACCCCGGCCCGCCGUUGAAACUGGCAGUCUCGAGUGGGAGAGAAGUAGGCGGAAUGCGCGGUGUAGCGGUGAAAUGCAUAGAUAUCGCGCAGAACUCCGAUUGCGAAGGCAGCAUGCCGGCUCCACACUGACGCUGAGGCACGAAAGCGUGGGUAUCGAACAGGAUUAGAUACCCCAGUAGUC